ensembl:lncRNA LINC01322 long intergenic non-protein coding RNA 1322
CUGGAGAGAAUGAGCUUGGAGCCGCAGGGCUUAAUCCCGCGCGGCUCAGAGAUGGGUUUCUGGACUCGCGAAGCAGCUGCAACAAGGCAUCACUCACUGUAUAAGUAUUUCCAUUUCUGAGAGCAAAAGGAAGAACUUAAGCGGGCGGCACUUGGAGUGUAAAUUGCUUUGUAGUAUUUAAAGGCAGAAUGGAUCCUGGGCAGCCGAGCUGCAACAAACCGGCAGGACUUCCUGUGAAAUCAUGACCACCAUGUGCUCUUUCAGCCUCUAUCAGUUCCUACCUCUAAGCACCUGAGAGCCAAAGCAAACCACAGGAAACCACAGGUACUAACUCUUUUAGACCUGAUGAAGUGUCUCCCAAAUACAGUCUGGCAUGGCCUUUGGAGUCAGACUGGAACUACAGCAUUGACUCUUCCGGAACUCCAGCUUACUGACUACAGAUCUUGGAACUUUUCAGCUUCCACAACCAUAAUGAAAGCCAAGCAUAUUCCAUCAUUUCCUAAAACCAAGAUAGAGCACAUAUGGGAACUUGUGAAAUAAGGAUGCCCUGCGGUUGUUUUCAGGACUGAAGACAACAGCUCCACGAUGUAUCUUUGCAUAAGAAUACACUUGUAUAAUAAGUUUUUUUUUUUAGAGAAAUUGCAUGUAUCUGCCUUAUAAACUUUUUCAUUCAUUCAUUUUCUUUCUUCCUAAUCUGUUCCAUAAAGCAAAUUUCUAACUUAUUGUUAAUCAAAAUAAUUAUUGAAAUAAUUAGUACUUUCAUAUGAUAAAGAUUAUUUUAAUCUGCAGCUACAAAAUAUGUAACUCAUUAAUAUUUAAACAAUCACAAUUUUCUAUUAACAUUAUAGCAUUUUAUCUACUACUAGAUCAGGAAUUAGCUAUUUUUUGUAAAAUUUCUUUGUAAGGCAAAGCAAUAGUAUUGUAUAUACUUUCCUAAAGAUUGUCAAGUUCAGUUUUGCUUAAAUUUAACAGUACAUGUGACACUUUCUGUUUGAAGAAUAAGUUGGUUUUAAGUUUAUACCAAACAAAAGCAUCUCUUUUGUUUUGCAAAAUCUGAAACUUUGAUCUUUCUAGUUGUGACUUCUUGUAAAUAUGUUUUAUAUAAAUAUUCUAUGAAUUGGUUAUUAACAAGGUAAAGAAAGAUUGAUAUGUAAGCUGAUUCUUAAACAUUAAUUUUCUGGAGAUAAACUUUUUUAAAAUUAUGCUUUAAAAAUAUUUUAACACAUGUUAUCAAAAAGGAACUGAAAUAUCUUAGGCAUAAAAGACAUCUCUAGAGGUCAUUAUUCAGUUUCCAGAAAGUACUGAAACUAUCUCUGACAGAUUGAUACGUUUUCUGCAUUUAUAGCUCUCUGGAGAGAGGUUCUGUAUAUUUAACAAUUCUCACUGUGAGGGAUAUUUUAAGUAUUUCAAAUUUAAAGUGCUCAUGUUUCAGAUUCAGAUUAUUAUUAUCAUCAUCAUUAUUUUGGUUCUGGCUUCAGUAAAAAUGUGAAAAACACUUUUCCAUCUUCUGAUAAUAUUUCAUAUUUAUAAAAUUAUUAUUAAGUUAUAACUCAGCUUUUUCAUUUAUGCUUUAAAUCCUUUUAUUAUCUCAUCACAACCAUCUUUGACUGUUUAUCAGAAAUGGUUCUCUUUUGUACAUUGACCAUUAUUUUAUAGAUCACAUUUAAGUUAAUAUAAAUCAUGCCUAUAAA